UACGGAGGGUGCGAGCGUUGUCCGGAAUCACUGGGCGUAAAGGGCGCGUAGGCGGCCGUGUAAGUCACUUGUGAAAUCCCGGGGCCUCAACUCCGGGGCUGCAGGUGAGACUGCAUGGCUAGAGCUUGGUAGAGGCGAGUGGAAUUCCCGGUGUAGCGGUGGAAUGCGUAGAUAUCGGGAAGAACACCGGUGGCGAAGGCGGCUCGCUGGGCCAAUGCUGACGCUGAGGCGGCGAAAAGCGUGGGGGAGCAAACAGGG
rnacentral:rRNA from 1 species